AAUUUUGGACAAUGGGGGCAACCCUGAUCCAGCCAUCCCGCGUGUGCGAUGAAGGCCUUCGGGUUGUACAGCACUUUUGGCAGGGAAGAAAAGGCUCUGGCUAAUACCUGGAGCUGGUGACGGUACCUGCAGAAUGAGCACUGGCUAACUACGUGCCCGCAGCCUCGGUAAUUCGUAGGGUGGAAGCGUCAAUCGGAAUUACUGGGCGGAAAGCGUGCGCAGGCGGUUCGGCAAGAAGGAUGUGAAAUCCCAGGGCUUAACCUUGGAACUGCAUUCUUAACUGCCGGGCUAGAGUAUGUCAGAGGGGGGUAGAAUUCCGCGUGUAGCAGUGAAAUGCGUAGAGAUGCGGAGGAAUACCGAUGGCGAAGGCAGCCCCCUGGGAUAAUACUGACGCUCAUGCACGAAAGCGUGGGGAGCAAAC
rnacentral:rRNA from 1 species